UACAAUUUUUAUUCAAUCUCGCAGUACGAGGAAUUUUCACGGAGCACAUGUCGAAGAAAAUUCCGAACCCUGUCACAGCUGCAAGAGUGAAGAGAGAUGUAAUUUAAAAGUUCUGAAUAGAAUUCCUGAGUUUGAAAAUCCUGAAUUAACGCUGACGUAGUCAAACAACACACCUGCCAUUCGUGACUCUCAAAUAAUCAUUGAUUGAAGGCCUAGCCAAUGGAUCUAUUCAUUGCGGAGAAAAAGCAUUGUAGUUUGAAUAAAUCUACUCUGCAAU